GGCACUGUCUGCAAAUCCUGGCACUCUGUGUCCACCAAGGACAAUUUCAACAAUUACCUCUGUAGAGCUCCUUGGUUGAUGCUAGCGGAGGAAGAGGAUGAUGACGGAAAUUCCAUUCGGAAAUUCUUCAGCCUCUAUAAUGGCAUGAUUUUGAACAAGAGAAUUCCGAAAGCCCGCAGAAAACGGUGUAUGGAGUCUAUGGGUUGGCUUAUCAUGGUAGGAGAAGAGGAAGGUGAAAUUAGUAUGCUGCAUCCCUUCUCUGGUGUUGAAAUUGAAUUACCCCAUCAAAAUACCACCGUAGAAUACAAUCGUUACCGGACUGGCUUGAAGAUGUACUUUUUUUACAAGGCAGUUUUGUCCUCUAGUCCUUCUCAUACAUCCGACUACAUUCUCGUGGUCAUUGAAGGAGCAUUUAAGUUCCUAAGUUUCUGGAGACCAGGUGAUAUUAGAUGGACUAGACUUAAAUUUCAAGGAACUGAUCGCGUCGGUACGGCUUUUUAUGAUUUGAUAUAUUUUAAUGGCCAAAUUUAUGCUUUGGAUUAUUCCGGUAUUCUGAUAGUUUUUGAUGUUGCUGAUGCUGUUGGCACCCAACCUACUAAAUAUCAUAUCGUAGCGCACAUGCCACUUCCACCUCAACUUCGUCGUGAACAGUUAUACAUUGUAGAAUCACUAGGAUCAUUAUUUGUAAUUGCGCGAUAUGGUGUUCAACUUAGGUUAGUCCAAGAUGAUAGCGACAGGAUUCCGUUAACGCUCUUACCAGAAGGAGAUACAAGCGAGGAUGGGCUUUGGGAGAAUAUAACAUAUGGGACAACAAAUUUUCGAGUUUUCCAGUUUGAUUCAGCUGCUGUCAAAUUGAUAGAAACCAGGGAAUUAGGGGACGCAGCUUUUUUUGUAGGUGCUAAUGCUUCUAUUUCAGUCCAAGCUUCUCAAUGUACAGGAAUCAAGCCCAAUCAUAUUUAUUUUACAGACGAUUUUUAUGAAUCAUACCUCUCCUACGAUGAAGGAGGAGGCUUGGACAUGGGGGUGUUCAACUUAGCCGAUGGCAGCAUCCAGCCGCACUACAGAGGUGUUUCCCUUAGUCGUUUUUGUCCUCCAAUUUGGGUAACACCAACUCCUUAUUGAGUCAUACAUACUCAUCCUUUAUUUAUUCUGUUAUGUUAGGUUACUUUUUAAGCUUUUAAUUUAAGUAAUUAGUGUUAUUUACUUUCAAAACUGGUUGAUGUACCUUUC
rnacentral:misc_RNA from 1 species